UACGGAGGGUGCAAGCGUUAUUCGGAAUUACUGGGCGUAAAGCGUGCGUAGGCGGUUUUGCAAGUCAGGUGUGAAAUCCCCGGGCUUAACCUGGGAACUGCAUUUGAGACUGCACGGCUUGAGUACGGGAGAGGGGGAUGGAAUUCCGCGUGUAGCAGUGAAAUGCGUAGAUAUGCGGAGGAACACCAAUGGCGAAGGCAGCCCCCUGGGUCGACACUGACGCUCAGGCACGAAAGCGUGGGGAGCAAACAGG
rnacentral:rRNA from 1 species